AACUGGCUGCUGCUGCUGUUGUACUUGUCAUUUAAUCUACUAUGCUUGUCCAUUUAUGUGUCAACGCAUGUUCCAUGCUUUCUGUCUCCCUGGGUGGGCAACAUCUGAAGUGGAGUCCUGGUUCAGUCCCAUGGAAGGGUGACAUUAUGGAUAUGACCUACAAACUGUAACAUCAUGGUGAAUCUUGGGAUAGGUGGAGUCGCAAAGGAUCCAGCUGAUGGUCCGGCCCGGGAAAAGAUGGAGCCACUUUUAGCCUGCAUUUGAAGGUGCCAUUGAACUGGGACAGCUGGAAUGCUUGCCAUACCACUGUGAUAUAUUCAGUCUUCAAAUGCAGUCUUAGAAAGUUGCAGCCCCUGAAUUUGGACACAGCCCACUCCUGAUCCAGUCUCCCUGUCGUGCUCCUGUCAGCGUCUUGACUCCCUGGAUCCUCACUGUGUGUAACCCCCAUCUUGUGUCUUCCACGUCGCACAGACCCACUUGGCUUCCUCGACCCUACGCCCGCUACCUUGACCAAGAUCUUGCUUGCCGGUUCCAGUUGCCCCUCGUUUAAUAAACCUUUUGCGGUUAUAGAGCUUUGAGUCUCCCUGAGUGUUCUGUGGUGUGACAAAUGUGGUUUAACCGUAAAAACUUUGUAUGAAAUAAUUAAAGUUGCUUAAAAAAAUCUCAAUAAAACACCCUUUAAGUA